GAGAUGAUUAUGAGGGAAAGAGUGUGAGGAUCCUCAUGGCCUAGGAAUUGGCCUCCUUUAAUGAGGAGAGUAAGGAGUCCUUUUAUAGAAUAAGGGCUCCUCACUUAUUACAUAUUUUCCCCUUCAUUUAUUACAUAAUUACAUUUGAGUCCCCCGAGUAUUUAUACGAGAUCUAAAUACGAAGGCCCUAAGUAUGGUACAAACAGUAGUCCCCCAAGUCUUCAGUCAAGAGAGUGUUUUGGCUAGAAACUUGAAAUUCAGUCCAUGUGUAGGCUAACUAGAUGUCGUCUAGAACUUGAUACUUGAUAUGAGGCGGUGCCCAAUCUGAAAUGAUGCUCAACUAGAAGUAGCACAUGUUGCGAGGCUACUCUGUUUGUGGCUU
rnacentral:lncRNA from 1 species